GCUUGAGGUACCGUGCCGUGGCGGUACCGAGGCGAAGGAGAGGGGGAAGGGCGGUGAGGGAUGGGUGGGUUUGGGGUGCUCAGGGGCGCCCGGCGGGGAGAGGUACGGCGCGAGCGGAGGGAGAGGGUCGUUCCGUCGCUGGUGCCGUCGGAGGCGCUGCGGAAGCGGGAGCAGAGGGCGCGGCUCGCGGUCAGCUCGGGGCAGCCGGGCCUCCACAUGCACAGGGAGGACGUCACGACGCAGCGGCGCCCCAGGGAGGCGCGCCCUGCGGUCCACGUGCGACGGCGGCAGUUCGCGCCCGGGAUGAUGACGGCGGUGCGGAUGUAGCCGUGGUUCGAGCGCCAGAAGAUGCGGGCUACGCCGCGCGACCGCCUGCGGCUCGCGCACAAGCUGCGCGAUGGGUUUUUCUUGCGGAAGCGGACCCGGAGGCAGUAGCCUAAUACCUCGGCGCGGCCCAACGUGCGGUCCCGGGAGCUGCCCAUGUAGCUGUACGACGUCCGCCCGCAGGGGCGCCUGUUGAAGCAGCACGGGUUGCACGACUUCCGUACGCGGCCCUAGCCCUACCAGCCCUGGCCCUCCCGCGACGUGCCCAUGCGGACCUUCCGCCCCAAGUCCCUUACGCAUAUGCACAACUCGUCGGACCACCUGAAGAUGCCCUUCACGCCGCUCCACCUACUACGCUCCCUCCACAAACUACGUUACGGCCUCUGGUGGCACCACUGGACCUUGAGGUACAACUACCCCAUAUAUUUGCUACCCUCUUAGCUACUACGACACCUUAACAAGAUAGUCUACUCCCAACUUCCGCACGACGGCUGCUCCCGCUCGUAAGAAUCGGAAGACAGACGUAGCCGGCUAAAACUUAGAGGACUAACCCCAUCCGUCCCGGUACGGCACCGGCAUAGCUCACCGAACCGCUACCUACAGUAAAACCCCUCGAGUUAGUAGUUGAAAAUGACAUUCCAACCCGACCAGCUCCGACGCCUCCGGCACAAACUCGUCUACCAACUUUCUCUGCGGCAAUGUACCUUAAACUACUAACGACCCAUAAACGUCCUACCCGUCUGGCUGUUCCGAAACUAGUGAACAGCUUUUUACGAGGUAAGACCGGAGUCCAAACUAACACACUGCAACCGCAGGUAAUAGUACCGAACGUACUGUAGGACACCAUACCUCUACCCGUCUCAACGAGUGCCGAUACGUCAAUCUUUGUUGGAACUUAGUCUGGUUCGCCAACGAACACCGGACUAUCUCAAUAUAUACUCAUCACUUUCCUGACUUGUACGUGCGGCCGACAAGCUACAGUACUCAACGUCUCUGUACCAGUACACGUCUCACUACUAAAGACGAAUACGUCUAGCACCCUACUCAAGAGUCCGAGAAUUCCAAAAUAUAGUCUACGUCGUACUCCCGUAUAGAGGUUCACGUCGCACGACCCUAAGCCAGUAAAGUCGAAAAUACUUCUUACUCGUCUAAUUACUCCGGGAUCUCUAGAAGUUACUCUACGAUGAUUGUUUUUGUGCGGGUUUAGAUGCGUGUACCUCGGACAAUUAUUGACCGAACAGAGCUUUACCAUACGUGACGCUCCAUUACUUAGAUACGACGUUCUACGUUCUUCAUCUCGGUCGUGGUUCAGGUUGUUAAAAGAGGCGUCGUGAACAACGGUACUUCCGACGUCGGAGUCAUGUUAUACCUUUCCGUUACGUACGCACGUAACAUUUCUUCCCGGAUAACAACAGGUUUAGGCACUAUGUCAGGGACGAUUUGUACAUACCGUCAAAGUCACUGUGUCCGUGCCAUCUUUCAAAUGAUCCGAACGAACGACGACGUGUCAUUUAUUGCGUCGACGUGUAUCAAUGUAAUGUAUCGCAAACGUGUAUAUAGUUGAACGAGUAUAAGUAGUAGUCUACCGAUAAGAACCUAGUCUUCCAAGGUUAGUCUUUUACUCGCUCAUGUAUCACGAUGACAACCGUUUUUCACAUGUCAAACCCAAAGACAUUGGUCCCUAACGUGCGGCUCUCUGUACAAUGUAGAGACCACAGAGGGUCAAACGAGAAAAAACACAUAAUCUUACAAACUCAGAGACCGGGAAAACCCCUAAACACUCUUCUGUGUUGUACCAGAUCUAAACGACCCGCCUAAUGAAUAUGACUUCCUAUUGACGUUUGACAUUAUAAGAAAGUAACGUUUAUGUACGCAGGGAUCUUAACGUUUUUAAUGAAAAGGACUUUACUAUUUUAUUUAAGACGAAACAUGCAAAUGAACGUGACUUCCUUGAGACUAUUUGUAGUAAAUAGAUGUAGCUAGUGACAGACAUUAGCCGGCUACGAAAACAAACGUCUUAGAUUUCUUCUGCCCCUGUUUGUUUACUAGUCAAAUAGGAACCGUUGAAUGGACUAGCUGCGGUGUACUAAUCCGACGGUUGAGAGUAGGUAGCUGUUCCGUACUACGAGGAUGUGUUAGGUUCCGCGCUGUUACCGCCUUUCCGCCCCCGCUGCGCUAGGCCGAAAUCGUUCCGUCGGUGCACCCUUCACCCGUGCGAGCGAAGUACCGUGUUGCUUACUACCUUCCUCCCCUCGGUGGUACACAGAAGUGGUUUUAAAGGUAGCUGGCGGAAAGAGAAGUUAAGGGCUGGAUAGAACCUCGCUAGCUAAUCAGAGACGAAACUACGCUAAGACAAGACAAGACGACGGCCCCUCUCGCAACCGAAAAAGAAAAGAAAAAAGAAAAAUCUUUUGCAACCGACCAAAAAAAUAAUCGUGUGACG
rnacentral:rRNA from 1 species